rnacentral:lncRNA from 1 species
UUUACCUUCAAAGCAGCUUUUUUUAAUUACCAGAGUUCUAAAAAAUGUUGAAUGAAAGCAGUAGAACCCUCACAAAGAAUAUAAACAUGCCUGUUCUACAUACAUGUCAUUCAUGGUUUCCCAAAGUAAAUGUGAAAUGUUAGAAAAAUGAGGCAUCUGAUCAAAGAAGGUCACAGAGGUGUAGCAAUAAGAACAGAGAGGACAUAGCUAACUCCCAGAAAUGUUUAAGAAUUACAAUAUGGUCAACAAGUAGCACAUUAUAGCUACAAUUGUGAGUGGAUUCAAACAAUGCAAUUUAAAAGGGGAACAGGCAGAACAUAUUUUGUAUUAUCUACAAAAAUAAUUAUCAUUUAUUAGAAAUAAUAACAUUAAGGAUAAUUGAAACCCAAAGUGGAUGAGAAGAUAAUCAGAAUUUAUCUAUUUUCCAUGAAUUCAAGGGUCCAGGCCCAAGUAAAUUACAUCAGUUAUAUAUCAUAGAACUAUAAGAACUUGCAGAUAUUGUGGAACUCUAGGGUUUAUGGAUAGUUUCUGUUCCUGGACAGUUUGAGAGGACAGAAACUUGAGGUUAGGAUAAUAUUGCCAUAAUAUGGACCCCCCGAACAAAAAUAAAAGAUCAUUGCUAGAAACUACAGACUGGAGUGAUAAAUCAAAAAUUCUAUACUGGAGGCAUUAAUUUGUUCCCUCAAAAUAUAGUAGUUCCACACUUGUGUGCUAGGUGCUGAGGGAAAAUAAAAUGAUGAGAAAUAGGGCAUAGAUUCUUCAUGAGAAGACCUGAGAUAUUUCAGAAAGUAAAACAAACAAAA